rnacentral:rRNA from 1 species
UACAGAGACUGCAAGCGUUAUUCGGAUUCACUGGGCGUAAAGGGUGCGCAGGUGGCUGGGUGUGUCAGAUGUGAAAUCCCGAGGCUUAACCUCGGAACUGCGUCUGAAACUACUCGGCUAGAGUACUGGAGAGGGUAACGGAAUUCACGGUGUAGCAGUGAAAUGCGUAGAUAUCGUGAGGAACACCAGAGGCGAAGGCGGUUACCUGGACAGUUACUGACACUCAGGCACGAAAGCAUGGGGAGCAAAAGGG